GGAAAUUUGAACUUGUGGAGGAAAUGCUUCAGGCAGAUACGUUACUGAAGCUUCGUGGGAGGCAUUUAUAACAAGAGAGGACUCAUGCCCAGACACUGCACCUGUUGCUAGCUGUUCUUUGGACAGACCAAGUGAAAGUGAGAAAGGACUCACCGGUGAACAAUCUUUUGAAACGGAUAGAAGAAUUAGAGGAGGAAUGUGACUUUCUUAGGCACACUCUUGCGUCCGUCUGGCAAGGAAAAGAAAAAGAAGAAGAAGAAAGACACUAGGACUAGUAGUGAGAGUGAUGAGUUAAACUCUUCAUCAUCUUCAUCGGAGGAUGAAAGAUGCCACAAAAAAAAAUCCAAAAAGAAGAAAACACAAAAAAACAGGUCAAGAUCUCCAUUCUCCAGUGCUACAGUAAGAGCCAAAUGUCCAGAGGACGUUCUGAAGAGAUACAAAAAAGUUCUUCGAGCAUACAAAAAGGAAGGAAGAGCUUUCACGAAAGUUGGAGUGGACAGAAAUACCCUUUUUAAUUUAAUUUGAUUAUUUGGGGUAUUUUAUGCAUUCAGUUUACUUUUCUAGUAUAUAGGAAGAAAAGUGUUUAAACAUAAGGAGUAAUCUUGUGUGACCUGAGUACAGCUUCUUGUUUUAGUUACAUUUUCUCAAAAUUAAAGUAGUCUAAUUAUGUUGUAAACGUUUCAGAAAUAGACACUUCCUGUUUAUCUGAAAGAUUUCAUUACAAAAAAACAAAAAAAAUCAUAACUGCAUGUGUUGUUUUUCUUUGCAUGUCCCAGUAUUAUUUCAUUUCAGCAAGUUUAAAUAAGAAUACCGUAAUUUUAUUCUGCAUGUAAUAGAGUGGACUAUGACGUCACUUUGUAUGCGGAUCGGCGGUUAGCAUGAAACUGGUUCCUUCGACAAAAAACCAAUAGGAUUUUCCAUAGGCUUUUGGAUUAUCGCAAAAAAUAAGCUCUGUGUUCAACCAUAGUUCAUGAAACUUACACGUUUUGUCCAUCAAGAUAAUCUUGACAAGAAAAUAUAACUUUGACGAAUUUUGAAGCCGAAAUAAAAGCGCAAGAACUAAAAAGCUAAACUUAGGCUAUAAACGAACUACAGCACCACCGUCGCUCGCCUUCCGCGUCACCACCAGCGCGCUCCCGACAACUGUUUCAAACUUAUUUUUAACAUGUUCAGUGAAGGAUUUACUCUGUAUAUGAAUUUUAAUUCACGCUACAGGAACAGUUUCAUGAAUAAA